AGGAGGCACCUGUUGAACUCAGGCAUCGGCAUGUGACUUGAUUUGGUAAAUGAAAUGUGAGAGAAGUGACAUCCACUUUGAGGCAGGCACUUUCCGAAUGCCAUCAAGCUGAGAUGUGAAGCGGAAGUGAGGCAGAGGCUCCCUUCCUUUUGUUUGGCGCAGUUUUCUCUGAGAGAGCAGAGGUGGGAGAUGAGGGGACCUCUGCCCCAGUGUUUCUGCAUCCAAGCUCCAGCCUUGUUGAAGGAAGCUCUGGACACUACUAGAAACACAUCUGGAGUUUGGACGGAGAAAGCCAGCCUGCAAUAGCCUACAUAGCCAUGGACUAUGAGCUUGCCUGACCUGUUAUUACCUGAUGGAAGUGUAGCCCCUGGCUGCUAGGUGAUGAUUACCUGUCUCAUUAGAGGCUUGUUGUGAGGAUCAUCAGGCAGCUCUAUUGAAAGUCUACCAUAGAGAGGAACAUAAGCCUUUAGUCAGCUCCAGCUCACCAGCCAUAUGAAUGAGCCACCUUGGAAAAGGAGCCUCCACCCCGGUCAAGCCUGCAGAUGACUGCCGCUUGAGUUGAUAAAUGUCUGCAAUCUCAUGAGACAUCCUGAACUAGAACUAC